rnacentral:misc_RNA from 1 species
GAUGAAGAACGCAGCGAAAUGCGAUAAGUAAUGUGAAUUGCAGAAUUCAGUGAAUCAUCGAAUCUUUGAACGCAUCUUGCGCUCCUUGGUAUUCUGAGGAGCAUGCCUGUUUGAGUGUCAUUAAAUUCUCAACUACACUGACUUUGAAUUGGUGUGGCUUGGAUUUGGGGGGAAAAUUGUUGUGGGCUUUUUGUAUAGUCUGCUCCCCUGAAAUUGAUUAGCGGUACCUUUGUGGAACUGUCUACAGGUGUGAUAAUUAUCUACAUCUUAGACAUCUGCUGGAAUGCUGCUUUCUAAACCUUACUUGUAUUGACAAUCUUGACCUCAAAUCAGGUAGGACUACCCGCUGAACUUAAGCAUAUCGAUAAGCGGAGGA